rnacentral:miRNA from 1 species
AAGGUUGUUCCAACAAGUCCAAUACAGUCAUGAUAUUACAAUAUUGUUACAACCUUGUGUCAUCAACCUUGUAACAUUCUUGUUAUAUCAUGACUGUAUCAGACUUGUCAGAACAACCUU